GAUGAACGCUGGCGGCGUGCCUAAUACAUGCAAGUCGAGCGAACAUACGAGGAGCUUGCUCCUCUGACGUUAGCGGCGGACUGGUGAGUAACACGUGGAUAACCUACCUAUAAGACUGGGAUAACUUCUUGAAACCGGAGCUAAUACCGGAUAAUAUAUUGAACCGCAUGGUUCAAUAGUGAAAGACGGUUUUGCUGUCACUUAUAGAUGGCUCCGCGCCUCAUUAGCUAUUUGGUAAGGUAACGGCUUACCAAGGCAACGAUGCGUAGCCGACCUGAGAGGGUGAGCGGCCACACUGGAACUGAGAAACGGUCCAGACUCCUACGGGAGGAAGCAGUAGGGAAUCGUCCGCAAUGGGCGAAAGCCUGACGAAGCAAAGAAGCGUGAGUGAUGAAGGGAUUCGGAUCGUAAAACUCUGUUAUUAGGGAAGAACAAAUGUGUAAGUAACUAUGCACGUCUUGAAGGUACCUAAUCAGAAAGACAAGGCUAACAACGUG
rnacentral:rRNA from 1 species